UACGAAGGGGGCUAGCGUCGCUCGGAAUCACUGGGCGUAAAGCGCACGUAGGCGGAUUGUUAAGUCAGGGGUGAAAUCCUGGAGCUCAACUCCAGAACUGCCUUUGAUACUGGCGAUCUUGAGUCCGGGAGAGGUGAGUGGAACUGCGAGUGUAGAGGUGAAAUUCGUAGAUAUUCGCAAGAACACCAGUGGCGAAGGCGGCUCACUGGCCCGGUACUGACGCUGAGGUGCGAAAGCGUGGGGAGCAAACAGG
rnacentral:rRNA from 1 species